rnacentral:tRNA from 1 species
GGAGACGUGGGUGAGUGGCUGAAACCACCGGUUUGCUAAAUCGACGUACUCUUAACGGGGUACCGCGGGUUCGAAUCCCGCCGUCUCCG